UAAUGGGGAGACUGCUAACAAUGCAUCGGCUGCUAAAACCGAGGGACAAACUGCAAACAAUAGCCCUUCUCAGAAACCUGCCAUCGCUUCACCCACAAUAGAUAAGCAAACACCAGCAGGCGUCCAUGGAAAUCUUACAAAUAAUUACUAUCGAGCAGAUGGCCAGAACUGUGGUAACUUUAUUACGGUAUGAUCCAAAUUCAGCUAUUCCAUAAAUGUGAUUUACACUAGGAUAGAACUUGUUGUUUAGAACAUCGAUCAUAUGCCCGUUCAUGCGUUGCAUAGAACAGGAAACAAAACAGCAGAUCCGACCUUGUUUGUAGGAUUUAGAUGCUUCUGAUGCAACUAGAUCUGGUUCUAGUUGCAGUAUUUCUAUGGCAUUCGUCGAGUGGCCGAGCUAUUUGUCCAACUUGCAUGAUUGCUAUCUACUCCUGCAAUGGCAUGCUAUCUUUUGUUGAGAUGAUGUUUCUUAGCUUGUUGCUUUCUAUUUGUGAUUGCAGGAUCGGCCAUCCACCAAAGUUCAUGCUGCCCCUGGUGGUGGAUCU
rnacentral:misc_RNA from 1 species